GCUGUGGCGCGGGCGGCGACGCUGCGUGGCUCUGGAGGACCGGCGCGGACCUGCAGCGGCUCGCUGAGGCCGUGGGUCGUCGCUGCAGCUGUCAGGACUCUUGGGGCGAACUUGCCAGACAGAGAGGAGCGGAAGGGAAGGGAUGCAUGGGCAUGGGGGCUAUGACUCUGAUUUUAGUGAUGAUGAGCAAGGUGGAGGAUCCAGCAAAAAGAGGAAGAAGACAGUUGAAGAUGAGUUGCUGCUUACAAAACCAUUUCAAAAAGAAAAAUAUGGAAAGGUGGCCCAUAAACAAGUUGCUGCAGACUUGCUGGACAGGGAAGAAGCAAGAAAUAGAAGGUUUCAUCUCAUAGCUAUGGAUGCUGUAUCCUUUUUAUAGCCCUAUUUUUAUGACUAAUAGAGUAUUUUGCUUGUUAGCCAUGUUUUCUAACUUUUAAACAUCAAAAUCUUGUCAAGUAGACUAGUUUUAUUUUUACAGGUUAGUGAUUAUUGAUAUAGAAGUUUACCAUUUAUAUUUUCAGAUGUAAUUCUCUUUUGCUAAUAUAUAGAAAAAAUUAGAAGAAAAAUUCAUUUUUAAUGAAAAAAUAGUAGUUGUGGUCUACAAAUAGACUUAAAAAGUCCAGGAACUGACACGUAUUCCAGCCUGUUCUUGUCAGGCUCCCAGCAUCUCCCUUUUCUGUUCUCGUCUUCUUUGGUAUCAUUUUAAUUUAUUCC
rnacentral:lncRNA from 1 species